GGGGCUACAUUCUUUAUAAUAAAGAAUUACGGAUGAUGCACUGAAACACACAUCUGAAGGAGGAUUUAGCAGUAAGCGGGAAAUAGAGCGUCCCGCUGAAAUUGGCUCUGAAGCGCGCACACACCGCCCGUCACUCUCCCCAAGCCUAACCGCCGAGACAACUAACAACCAGCAAUAGCGAAGGGGAGGCAAGUCGUAACAUGGUAAGUGUACCGGAAGGUGUACUUGGAAAAAU
rnacentral:rRNA from 1 species